AGGGAAUAUUGCUCAAUGGGCGAAAGCCUGAAGCAGCAACGCCGCGUGCGGGAUGAAGGCCUUCGGGUUGUAAACCGCUUUCAGCAGGGACGAAGGGUUUCUGACGGUACCUGCCGAAGAAGCACCGGCUAACUACGUUCCAGCAGCCGCGGUGAUACGUAGGGUGCGAGCGUUGUCCGGAAUUAUUGGGCGUAAAGAGCUUGUUAGGCGGUCCGUCACGUCGGAAGUGAAAACUCAGGGCUUAACCCUGAGCCUGCUUUCGAUACGUGCAGACUUGAGGGAUGUAGGGGAGAACGGAAUUCCUGGUGGAGCGCUGGAAUGCGCAGAUAUCAGGAGGAACACCAGUGGCGAAGGCGGUUCUCUGGACAUUUCCUGACGCUGAGAUGCGAAAGCGUGGGGAGCAAACA
rnacentral:rRNA from 1 species